rnacentral:rRNA from 1 species
AGCGAACGCUGGCGGCAGGCCUAACACAUGCAAGUCGAACGAAGCCUUCGGGCUUAGUGGCGGACGGGUGAGUAACACGUGGGAACGUACCUUUUGGUUCGGAAUAACGCAGAGAAAUUUGCGCUAAUACCGAAUGAGCCCUUCGGGGGUAAGAUUUAUCGCCGAAAGAUCGGCCCGCGUUGGAUUAGGUAGUUGGUGUGGUAAAGGCGCACCAAGCCUACGAUCCAUAGCUGGUCUGAGAGGAUGAUCAGCCACACUGGGACUGAGACACGGCCCAGACUCCUACGGGAGGCAGCAGUGGGGAAUCUUGCGCAAUGGGCGAAAGCCUGACGCAGCCAUGCCGCGUGAAUGAUGAAGGUCUUAGGAUUGUAAAAUUCUUUUACCAGGGACGAUAAUGACGGUACCUGGAGAAAAAGCCCCGGCUAACUUCGUGCCAGCAGCCGCGGUAAGAC